UUACUUGUGUGCAUAUGUCAAAAAUGUAAAAACUCGUUAUGUAAAUCCUAACACCAAUUUCACCACUUGUCACAAAUUUUGAAAUUCACCUACUAAACAAAUGCUACCAAUCUAGUGCAUAAUGGUAGUGUCAAAUUGUCAUAUAUGGAAUCUUUCAUUUGGUUUAUUGACUUGAGCCGGUUUAGUUACGGCAACGUGAAGUGAGAAAAUAUAAAAUAAUAUUUGAUAGAAACAAAAAAUGUUAGCAAAAUUAAUUAAAUUAGUAUAUAAAACAAUAUCGUAUGGGGUCAAAUAAUGUAAAACAUUAUGGAUGCAACUGCAAAUGUUUGAUUAGAAUUGUGUUCACCAUGUGGUAAAUUGGCACGAUAUACUUUAUUGAAGUGUGAGGCUUCUAUAUGGUCAGCUAUGUGAUUAGAUGAAGAAGAAGAUUUCUCUCAAUCCAUUGUCAUAUCGCUUUGAUAUAGCCAAAUACAUGAUAAGGUAAUAUGUAAUUGAUGUAUAUAUUUGAAAUGCUUAAGUGAAAUGAGGGCAAGGUGGGUGAAUGAAAACGUCCAGAUCAACGUUCCAUUGCGCUACGACCAACUCUACUUAUUCAUUUCACGUUGAAGUGGUUUAAAAAGAGAUCGAGAAACAAGAACGUUUGGGUCAGUGUUUCAUUGUUAUUAGCUAAUAUCAGCGACAUGGUUUUAAUGUAAACACUAAAAUUACAAGCACUGUCUAAAUUGGUGGGAAGCGGAUUUAUAACUGAUUUUAAGGUGCUUGCACUGAAGCCAUUUAACUGGAAUUCUGAUGAAACACUAGAAUUAACAAUAUAUAUGGGUCAACAUUGAUAUUUUUGAAGUCUUCAUAUGCGUGGGUUGUACUCAAAAGGUAUCAUCUCUUCAGUAUAUAUUUGAAGCGUCAAAUGUGAAGAACUUACACAGGAGUAGAGGCGUUAUAAAUCGUAUUAAAGAAAGAAUAUUUAUGUUUAAAUACUAAUUAUCUAUUAUUUAAAUAAAUAAUAGUUUUAUACUGUAAUA